rnacentral:rRNA from 1 species
CGCGAGUAUUCAGAGUUUGAUCCUGGCUCAGGAUGAACGCUAGCGGCAGGCUUAACACAUGCAAGUCGAGGGGCAGCAUGACACGGAGAUUCGUCAAAGUGUUGAUGGCGACCGGCGCAAGGGUGCGUAACGCGUGAGCAACUUGCCCGUUUCUGGGGGAUAACCGGUGGAAGCGCCGACUAAUACCCCAUAGUAUGUUUUUAAGGCAUCUUUUAGACAUUAAAGAAUUUCGGAAACGGAUAGGCUCGCGUGACAUUAGCUAGAUGGCGGGGUAACGGCCCACCAUGGCGACGAUGUCUAGGGGUUCUGAGAGGAAGGUCCCCCACACUGGAACUGAGACACGGUCCAG